UACAGAGAGGGUUUGGGGGGAGGUAGAGAACGACAUAGGAGAGGGGAACAGAGAGGUCAAAGAGCGGAGGAAAUUCACUACACGUGUUAGCCGUUCGUUUUCCAUGGGAUACGCGGAGGAAAGAAGUAACAAAAGAGCGGAGAUUCAACGAAGAGGAGAUGCCGUGAAUCGAGCGGAUCGAGAUAAAAUGGCGGGACGGUAAACGAAAGAAAGUGGCUGGACGUAUCGCGUGUGACAGUAUAUCGUUGCGUGUCUCGUGCGGUCACAUGGAUCACGUGGUAGUCCGUGCCCCUUCCCUUUCUGACCGCGGGGGUUUCUAUGGUGGGUGGUGGGGAUGUCAACUGUGAUUGGAAGGGAUGUAGAAAAGGAGAAAUGGUAGACGAUUCUUAGGAUAGAAAAAGAGGAGAAAGAAGAGGAUGAGAAAGGAUAGAGAGAAGUCUUAAGAAGAUAUUGCUUCGACACCGAUAAUGAUCACGUGUGAGGCGAUGGACGCGUGACGCCGCGGUCUGACCGCAAGCUCGUUACGUCUGUCGGAAGUAUAAAUCAACCGCAAAGUUAUUCCGCUGUGCUGUCGGGAACUCCCCGUAGGGCGCCUCGUUGGAAACUGCUACCACCUUCUUGUCCGCGAUAUCGUUCGCGCAGAAGAUAGCGACCAGGAAAUAAAGAAAAGCUGAAAAAGUGAUAAUCAGCAGGCAGAACCGCAAGAAGAUAUUCUUAACUUCGAGAACGAAUUUAUUCUCGCGCAACUUCUGUUCCACGAUCGAGUUUAACAAAGUAUCUUGCGUUUCGCUCGUAUAAUAAAUAAAUAUUCCAACUCACUGAGAGCUCUUAUCUUCCAGCAAAAACCC